UACACCUUUUACGUUCAGUUGAAGUGAUUUACCUUUCAACGCCAUUUACAUAUUUCCUUUCUCGCUCCACCAGUUCUCCUUCAUUCUCGUCCCCUUCUUCCUAAUUUCCCAAACCCUAACACCACCUUCCGCCAUGGCACCACCACCAAUGACGGCAAUAACCGCCACCUACUUUCCUCCUUCGCCCAGAACUACUGGAUCGCCAUCGUCCCCUCCGCCACCUUCCUCAUCGACCUCGGCGGCACCACCAUCACAUUGAACAAUGGUGAAGGCUGUAGCAGUUCUUGGAAGCAGCGAUUAUGUCAAAGGAACUAUCAACUUCAGUCAGGAGGGAGAUGGCCCAACUACCGUAACUGGAACUAUUUCCGGUCUUAAGCCCGUCUUCAUGGCUUCCAUGUCCAUGCCUUGGGGGACACCACCAAUGGCUGCCUGUCAACUGGACCACAUUUCAAUUAUGCAGGCAAGGAUCAUGGUGCCCAUGAACUCAUCUAUUGUAGAAAGAGAAUUAUGCGGGUCUGAUGUAAUUGCGAUGCUCUUAGCUACAGCUUAUGACAAAGCAUCUGAGGCUUGGACUGGAUUAUCACCUAGUACACUGGAACUUAAAAGGUUUGUUGCCUAUGCCCAAAGCCGGGCAAAUUUGCUGAUGAAACUCACAUUUCUCAAAGAGAUUGGUCCAUAUAGAUGGGAGUGCCUUUUUCGAACUCCUCUAAACUAUAAUGAUGCAAUAAUUGUAAUGAUCAUUUCACGGUAGUGAUCUUAAAAAACCUGGCUCAGAGUUGCAGUGGAAUCUGCAAUGGUCAUUUUUCAUGGUGAUAAUUAGGCUUUGAUCUUUUUACAAAAUGGUUGAUCCUUACAAGUAACCAGCAUUUAGAAAUUUAUAAUAGCUAACUGUUGUCAUGAAUCCUUGCUUCAAAAAAUGGCUAAUCCUUACAAGUAACCAGCAUUUAGAAAUUUAUAAUUGUUAACUGUUGUCAUGAAUCCUUGCUUCAAACUUCUCUUGUUGAUCUUUUUAUGCUGCUCCAUUGGAAUCAUCUAGUUCACUGUAUUUUUGUGCUGCUGAUUUAAAAUAAGUUAAGUUAAUGACAUGCUAUCAAUUUACCUAAGUGACAUGUAGGAGCAGGUAGAACAAGAACUAACUCAAACCAACAAUUUUACGAUGAACCGGUUGAACCUGCUGAUCAUGCAAAAGGAUUUCACUAAUGUUAGUGAGGGUCAAUUGAUGGCAAUAUAGAUACAAUGAAGAAAUGGCUAACAAUAUUUGAGUCUUCAAAUCUUUAUGUAAUUGGUUAGCUAGUGUUGGCUGUUUACAUAUAUCUUCUUCUAUGUACUUUGGUGUUUCAAUCUUUAUGUACUCAAAUUCAGAUGCUGGAACCAUAUAUGUCCUUUCAUGUUCAUGCCCAUUUGUUAGUUUGCUUGAACCUUGUGACAUCUUGAGGCAUACUUAUUGACUGUUCAUGAGCUUAUACUUAA